GACGUAGGUGGCGAACGUUAUCCGGAAUUAUUGGGCGUAAAGGGUGCGCAGAUGGUCUGACAAGUUACCGGUGGUAAAUCGAGGCUCAACCUCGUGGAAACUGGUAAUACUGUCAGGCUCGAGUGCAGGAGAGGUUAACGGAACUCCCGGUGGAGCGGUAAAAUGCGUAGAUAUCAGGAGGAACACCUGCGGUGUAGACGGCUUACUGGACCAUAACUGACGCUGAGGCACGAAAGCGUGGGUAGCAAACAGG
rnacentral:rRNA from 1 species